AGGGGAUUGGUCAGUUUUGCCAUCCCACCAGGCUUAAAAUGAGCCAUCCCAGAGGCUAGGAGAGGCGAUCUCACUACCAUCAAGAAAGCAGAGCCAGGAACAGAGCAUGAUGUCCUUUGGACCCGGUUCCCCCCUCUGAGAACCUCCAAGGCCCAGGAGACAGAGCAGUAACACUGAAGACACUGAGAGACGGAGGCACAGCAGUAGCAAGAAUGACAGCAGUGCAAAACACCUGUAGUAGAGCCUGCCAACCACAGAGCUAAGAGCUGUAACACUUGCCAGAGACGGCCCUGAGCAGGGCCCAAUGGCAGAGGACAAGAAGAAGCUGUCCUGAUCAAGAACUGUAUCCUGAGUUGUUCCUGUUACUUCUGAGUCAUUCCUGAUUGAGAGCUGUAUCUUGUUACUUUCCUUAUAAACCACUUAACUCUGCCUCCUAUUCGUCUGACCUCCAAUUCUUGGGACUUGAGCUAGCAGCCUACCUGGCGAUCUUGGGAUUCAUCAAUCUUCACAGCCCAUGAGCAAGAGUUCUGCUCUCCGACCUGCCAAUCUCAGGCUCACCAGCCCCUGCAGUUACGUGAAUCAGGAGAAGCCUUGCAGUCUUGCCUGCUGAUCUUGGGAUUCAUCAAUCUUCACAGCCUGUGAGCAAAAGCCCUGCUCUCUGACCUGCCAAUCUUGGGUUUGCCAGCCCAUGCGGCUAUAGGAAUCAGAAGAAGCCUCUAUCCUAACCCACAGAUUGGGGCAUUCCUGCCUCUACAAUCCCGUGAGUUCUCUGCACAUUGCCUGGGGUCUUCAAAGCUUGCAAGAGGCAUCCAAGGCACAAUUGGUCUCUAAUCACCUGGAGCAAUAAAUGAAGAAGAGUCAGAAACAGGAGGAGUAUAUGGAUGUGUGGCUAACUGCCUCCAUGAACAACUGCCUCCUUUGCCAUAAGACAAGAAGAACUAUAUGGUACCCAGCUACCAUUACUGAAAAUUUUGAUCAAAGAUUCUAUAGAAGAAUGCUAGUCCAAGCCCAUUGCCAUCGAGUUGAUUCCAACUCAUAAGGGCCCUAUAGGACAAAGUAGAACUGCCCCACAGGGAUUCCAAGGCUGUAAAUCUUUACAGAAACAGACUGCUACAUCUUUCUCCCAUGGAGCAGCUGGUUUGUUAGAACUGCCAACCUUUCUGUUAGCAGCCAAGCACUUAACUACUGUGCCACCAGGGCUCCUGAGACUCCUGAUCAAAAGGGAGAAACCUAAAAAAAAUUCAAAUUCUCAUGGAAUCCAGACUUUCUGAAGCCAAAGAAGCUGGAUGAACCCCUAAAACUGCUGCCCUGAGAUAGAUAGUCUUUAAACCUUAAACCAAAAAUAUCCUCUGAAGUCUUCUUAAAACCAAACAGUAGUUAAGCUUACUUAGUAAAGAAUGUCUGCCAUAGGAUCAAAGAGCAUCCUGAAAAUUAAAUAGGAACUUUAGGCAGCAGUGAGUUUAUGUUAAUAGGGAAGGAAGGGCUCAAAAAGGGAGGGUGAAAGAGGUUGCACAACCCAAAGAAUGUAUCAGUAUCACCGAAUUGUACAUGUAGAAACUACCGAAUUGGUAUAUGUUUUGCUAAGUAUAUCCUCAACAACAAAAAUAAAUAAAAUAAUUUUUUUAAACUAAUGUAAAUCUACUCAUUCUGUACUUAGCCCACUCAAGCAAACACAAUCUCCUUCAGAAAGUCUUCUUGGAUUACUCUAAGUCCAGUCUAUUCUCUCCUUUCUCUAGAUUGCCUGUAACAUACUAUCUUAUAUUUAGCUGUUCUCAAGCUAAUUAAGAAGUUAACUGAUUUGUAAGUUCUCCAAAGCAAGGAUAAAGACUAUGUUUUAGGCCCUUGUAUGGCCCAUAGUGCAGCAAAGAACAGAACUCAGAGCAAACUGGUUCAAUCUAAAUAUUUCCAGAGGACUACUGAUUAUUACUUAGGUUAGAUUCAAACAUAGCAAGAAACAAAACAAACAAGC